UAAAAAGAAUGCUGGCGAUGAUAUUGAGUCUCCAACGUUGAAUUCUUUUGCAAAAGAUAUUCUCCGAGAAUGUGGAGGCCUGCCUAUAGCUCUUGUAACGGUUGGAAGGGCAAUGAGAGGCAAACAUCCUGACGAGUGGCAAGUGGCAGUUGAGAAGCUUAGGAAAUCACAGCCACAAAUCAUUGAAGGGAUGCAUAAAGAUG
rnacentral:misc_RNA from 1 species